rnacentral:rRNA from 1 species
CCCUUAGAUGUCCUGGGCCGCACGCGUGCUACACUGACGCCUACAGCGAGCACUUUCCAGCCCCGAGAGGCGGCUGGUAAUCAGCAAUAGGCGUCGUGAUGGGGAUAGAUCUUUGGAAUUAUGGAUCUUGAACGAGGAAUGCCUAGUAAGCGCAGGUCAUUAGCCUGCGCUGAUUAAGUCCCUGUCCUUUGUACACACCGCCCGUCGCUCCUACCGAUUUCGAGUGGUCCGGUGAAUCUUUCGGACUGCGCGCGGCCUUGAGUCGUGUCGCGGAAAGUCAGGUAAACCUUAUCACUUAGAGGAAGGAGAAGUCGUAACA